rnacentral:rRNA from 1 species
UGGGGAAUAUUGCACAAUGGGCGCAAGCCUGAUGCAGCCAUGCCGCGUGUAUGAAGAAGGCCUUCGGGUUGUAAAGUACUUUCAGCGGGGAGGAAGGGAGUAAAGUUAAUACCUUUGCUCAUUGACGUUACCCGCAGAAGAAGCACCGGCUAACUCCGUGCCAGCAGCCGCGGUAAUACGGAGGGUGCAAGCGUUAAUCGGAAUUACUGGGCGUAAAGCGCACGCAGGCGGUUUGUUAAGUCAGAUGUGAAAUCCCCGGGCUCAACCUGGGAACUGCAUCGAAUACUGGCAAGCUUGAGUCUCGUAGAGGGGGGUAGAAUUCCAGGUGUAGCGGUGAAAUGCGUAGAGAUCUGGAGGAAUACCGGUGGCGAAGGCGGCCCCCUGGACGAAGACUGACGCUCAGGUGCGAAAGCGUGGGGAGCAAACAGG